rnacentral:rRNA from 1 species
UCUCAAGGAAGAAAAAAAUGACGGUACUUGAGGAAUAAGCAUCGGCUAACUCCGUGCCAGCAGCCGCGGUAAUACGGAGGAUGCAAGCGUUAUCCGGAAUGAUUGGGCGUAAAGCGUCCGCAGGUGGCUGUGAAAGUCUGCUGUUAAAGAAUGAGGCUCAACCUCAUCAGAGCAGUGGAAACUACACGGCUAGAGUGCGUUCGGGGUAGAGGGAAUUCCUGGUGUAGCGGUGAAAUGCGUAGAUAUCAGGAAGAACACCGGUGGCGAAGGCGCUCUACUAGGCCGCAACUGACACUGAGGGACGAAAGCUAGGGGAGCGAAUGGGAUUAGAUACCCCCAGUAGUCAAAA